rnacentral:lncRNA from 1 species
UCUUCCAUCUCUUGUAUUCUGUUGCUGAUGCUCAAAUCUAUGGUUCCAGAUUUCUUUCCUAGGGUUUCUAUCUCUAGUGUUGCCUCGCUUUGAGUUUUCUUUAUUGUGUCUACUUCCCUUUUUAGGUCUAGUAUGGUUUUGUUCAUUUCCAUCACCUGUUUGUAUGUUUUUUCCUCUUUUUCUGUAAGGACUUCUACCUGUUUGAUUGUGUUUUCCUGUUUUUCUUUAAGGACUUGUAACUCUUUAGCAGUGUUCUCCUGUAUUUCUUUAAGUGAUUUAUUAAAGUCCUUCUUGAUGUCCUCUACCAUCAUCAUGAGAUAUGCUUUUAAAUCUAGGUCUAGGUUCUCAGGUGUGUUGGGGUCCCCUGGACUGGGCGAAGUGGGUGUGCUGGGUUCUGGUGAUGCCUCUCACCCCACCAUCAACCAUUCCUCCUCAGUUUCUCUUCAGAAAAAGGCAAUGCUCUCAAGGAUAUUAACCAGCCUUGGUAUAUCAAGUUGCAGUAAGGCUAGGCACCUCCUCUCCUAUUAAUGCCAGACAAUGCAACCAAGUAGAAGGGAAGGGGCCCAAAGGAAGACAACAGAGUCAGAUACAACCCCUGCUCCCAUUGUUGGAUGUCCUACAAGAAGACCAUACUACACAACUGUAACAUUUGUGCAGGGGGCCUAGUCGAGUUUGGCAAUGAAAACUCCCAGGAAUUAUUUAGAGUGAGCUAAGACUCCUAGCAAUGGAGGAUACAGACCCUGAACCAGCCAUUUCCUGUAAACAGGAUUUGCUGACAUAAAGGUGGCACAGAAAUUGUGGGACUGGCUAACCAAUGACUGGUCCAAUUUGAAACCCAUGCCAUAAGAGGGAGCCCAGCUCUGACACUGUCUGGAUAACCAAGAACCAGAGGCUGGAUAGACCAGAGACCUCCAUGUAGCUAAGGUCACUAUUGACCCCAAGAAUGACUAAACUUUGGUCAGCUGAAUCCACUUUUGCUCACGAUCAGCCUGUAGAAGGUGACAAUAAGAGCACCCAGCACACUCAAGACCUGAACUCUAACACACACUCUGCUCUGUGGACCUCAUUAAUAUGGAAAAGACCACAGUCGGAGAGAGGAUAAUGUUCUGACUUGGAAAGAAAUUCAGAGCUGCCCUCUCUGACUUAAAGCUUCAAGAGAAACUAUAGCUGGUUGCUGAAAAUUUAAGAAAAGAUAAUAAAGACGUGAUUGAUGCUCUCCCAUAAUACUGAACAGUAAGAGGAAAUUGAAUAUUUACAACCACGUGAGACAAGAUCAAUUCUGAAGGGGAAGUAAAGGAGAGAAAUGGUGACAUUGGACUGGCACUGCCUGAGAGGAAGAGCAGGUGUCUAAGAAGAGGUAAUGUGCAGAGAUAAGAACUCGGCAGCCAUUUCUCUGUGGCAUGAACUGAAGAAAAGUAGUGAAAAGAUAUUCCUCAAUGAAAUCACUUUAUAAAGAAAGAAGAUUGGACAGGAACUAUGACAAAUUCAAAAUGAUGCCUACAACAGAAGUUACCUAACCAGAGCCACGAGAGAUGCCCAAAAUGAGAUUUAUGUUAUUGUGUUUCUAUGAAUCUAGCAGUCGAUCCUGUAAUCUGUAAGUUACUAGGAAGCUUAUCAAUGUAUCGGCAGCGUCUGAAGCUCCUAGCAUUGCUUGCAAUGAUGUGGCAAGUCUUGACAAAUGCAUGACUAUGGUGAUGGAAGUCAGGAGGCCUUCUUCCUCCAGAGUGUGAGUGAUUGCUGGAGGCUGCCCUGGAAAUCCUUCCUGAAAAUGGUGUACCAGAAGACAAUGCAGAUUGCACUUCGAACUGAAACUCCGUUGCCAAAUCCCUGCUCUGGCAUCAAACUGCAGGCUAAUUUCUUUCCUUUCUCAGCCUCAGAAUUUGUUUGGAUCAUGAGGACCUUGGACUUGAGAUGUGAUUCCUGUGUCAGUUCAUUUCUAUAGAACUCUUCAGUUUUUGUUCUCAUAGACUUGCUGUUGAUUUACUUUUAACAAUAAAGGAAGG